ACUUUAUAAUGGCAAACCUAUUGAAAAAUAGGGACGCAAAGCUAGAGGGACUACAUCCAACAAGGAUAUGUCAGCCAGUUGCAUUG
rnacentral:ncRNA from 1 species